rnacentral:rRNA from 1 species
GCAAGUCGAACGCGAACGAUUUUCUUCGGAGGAUCUAGUAGAGUGGCGCACGGGUGAGUAACGCGUAAGUGAUCUACCCUGGCAUCUGGAAUAACUCAGCGAAAGCUGUGCUAAUACCGGAUACGUUGAUUUAUCAAGAAAGGUGGCCUCUGAUUCAAGCUACUGUGCGGGGAGGAGCUUGCGUACCAUUAGCUAGUUGGUAGGGUAACGGCCUACCAAGGCGACGAUGGUUAGCGGGUCUGAGAGGAUGAUC